rnacentral:rRNA from 1 species
GUGGGGAAUAUUGGACAAUGGGGGGAACCCUGAUCCAGCCAUGCCGCGUGUGUGAAGAAGGCCUUAUGGUUGUAAAGCACUUUAAGCGAGGAGGAGGCUUACCUAGUUAAUACCUGGGAUAAGUGGACGUUACUCGCAGAAUAAGCACCGGCUAACUCUGUGCCAGCAGCCGCGGUAAUACAGAGGGUGCAAGCGUUAAUCGGAUUUACUGGGCGUAAAGCGCGCGUAGGCGGCCAAUUAAGUCAAAUGUGAAAUCCCCGAGCUUAACUUGGGAAUUGCAUUCGAUACUGGUUGGCUAGAGUGUGGGAGAGGAUGGUAGAAUUCCAGGUGUAGCGGUGAAAUGCGUAGAGAUCUGGAGGAAUACCGAUGGCGAAGGCAGCCAUCUGGCCUAACACUGACGCUGAGGUGCGAAAGCAUGGGGAGCAA